AGUUUGAUCAUGGCUCAGAUUGAACGCUGGCGGAAUGCUUUACACAUGCAAGUCGAGCGGCAGCACGGGGCAACCUGGUGGCGAGCGGCGAACGGGUGAGUAAUAUAUCGGAACGUAUCCUGAGAUGGGGGAUAGCCCGGCGAAAGCCGGAUUAAUACCGCAUACGAUCGAGAGAUGAAAGUGGGGGACCGCAAGGCCUCACGUCUUAGGAGCGGCCGAUAUCAGAUUAGCUUGUUGGUGAGGUAAAGGCUCACCAAGGCUCCGAUCUGUAGCUGGUCUGAGAGGAUGAUCAGCCACACUGGAACUGAGACACGGUCCAGACUCCUACGGGAGGCAGCAGUGGGGAAUUUUGGACAAUGGGGGCAACCCUGAUCCAGCCAUUCCGCGUGAGUGAAGAAGGCCUUCGGGUUGUAAAGCUCUUUUGUUCGGGAAGAAACGGUUUCACCUAAUACGUGAGACUACUGACGGUACCGGAAGAAUAAGGACCGGCUAACUACGUGCCAGCAGCCGCGGUAAUACGUAGGGUCCAAGCGUUAAUCGGAAUUACUGGGCGUAAAGCGUGCGCAGGCGGUUGUGUAAGCCAGAUGUGAAAUCCCCGGGCUUAACCUGGGAAUGGCAUUUGGGACUGCACGGCUAGAGUACGGCAGAGGGGACUAGAAUUCCUGGUGUAGCAGUGAAAUGCGUAGAUAUCAGGAGGAAUACCGAUGGCGAAGGCAGGUCCCUGGGUCGAUACUGACGCUCAUGCACGAAAGCGUGGGGAGCAAACAGGAUUA
rnacentral:rRNA from 1 species